rnacentral:lncRNA from 1 species
AACAAAUGCUGGUGGCAUGAGUGUGGUUCAAAUGUGCCCUCCAAAUCUCAUGUGCUGGAAUUCUGGUGCCCAGGUUGACCUGACUGGGAGGUAGGGCCCUUUAAGAGGCAGAGCCUCGUGGGAGAUCCUGAGUUCACUGGGGCUCUUCUGGGAAGGAAAUGCACCGACUUUCACCAGAGGGCUGUUGGGACAGCAGAGCCCUGCUCCACCCCAUCUUUGUGGCUUCCUGUUGGUAGAUACAAUUGCUCCCUCACUCCUGGGUUUCCUCUGUGAUGUGACAUAACCAAGAAGGCCCUGAUGCCAGAGCUGGGUUGGUGCCACUGCCAAGCCUCUGAACCCCCAAAACUGUAAGUUAAAUAAAUCUCUUUUAUUUACAGUUAGCCUUCCUUGGGUAAUCGUUAUUAAUACCAAAGGGAUUAAUACAGCACGGCUAAAUGGAAUAGCUGAGAGGACAAGGCCACAGAACUAGGCUUGUCCACAGGCAACAGAGGGACCAGUCAUCAGUGCCAGAGAAGUCGCCACCUGACCAAACACUCCUUGCUGCAUGGUCUUUGAGGACACAAAUGUCCGCCUUGCCGUUCUGCACCAGGUGUUUGAGAAUUCAGUGGAAUGAUGGAUUCUCCUUCAGGACCUCAUUAAAUGUGUGUUGGACGAACCACACGUUAUCAAAGGGAAAGGUCCUUUUACCUCCAAUGUGGACAACUUAUCAGCCUCAUGUAAGGUUCCACCUUAUAGAACUUGAGGUUACCAAUCGCUUUGGAGGAUCUGCUUAUAGCACUUCAUCUUUAUGUAAGCUAAUUGCACAAGAGGAUUUUAUGCCUUACAUAAACCAGUUCCAUAAUGGUGUCCAACCAGUAAACUCAUAG